rnacentral:lncRNA from 1 species
AAGGCACCAAACCAUUGAGGAGGGAUUUGUCCUCAUUACCCAAACACUUCCCACCGGGCCUCACCUUGAACGCUGGAGAUCAAAUUUUAACAUGGUAUUUGGUGGGGACAAACCCUAUCAGCAGCUGCUUUUAAUAUUUAAAAAAAUAUUUUGAGAGAGGGCCCACAGACCCUCUGAAAGAAGCAGACUGCUCCUGCAGGACCCGGGGGACACCCCAAAUACUGUGAGUGCCCCAACUGCGGAAGUGGGAAAGGGAGACCCUCCUUUCCGGAACACACACCCCCUACUGGAGAAGCUGAAGGUCUGCUUCCGGGAGAUGCUCCCGACUUCACCUGGAGCUGAGUCAAGUUAGAGAACCGGACCAAGCGAAAUACAGGGGCAGAGGAGGCAGCAGGGAGGCCCUGGGAGCUCUUUGAAUCCCCAGGUAGCCUAUUCCUGCCUGGCACCACUGGGAUUCAUCAGGAGGGAGGCCAGAGGAGCAGGAGGUGGGAGGCGGAAAGCCUCGGGCAAGUUUUCAAGCCCGUCCUCUGUCUGGAAACAGACUCAGAGGUGUUGCAGGGGACACGGUGGGAGUGAGACCAGCCCUUCGGUGUGCGUGGGAUCUGGGGGAGGCCUGUGACUGCCGGCUUUCCCCUGCUUCUCUGACAACCUGCAUGACUCAGCAGAGGCAGCCAUAAUCCUGGAGAGCCCCGGUUUAAGAUCUCCAGGUGAAGUAGAUUUUUAUUUCAGAACCUUCAGGAAGGGGAGAGUGGCUCAUGGGCUGAGUGGAUAAACCACAAAAUGGGUAAUAUACUAUAGGAGGCAGAGUUUGAGAUCGACGUCCCCCUGCACCUGGGGCGCCUCCUGAUGGUGAAGCUGCGCAAACACAACGUGCUGUUGAGUCUCGACUGGUUCUGCAAGUGGAUCUCAGUGCAGGGCCCGGGGACCCAAGGCGAGGCCUUUUUCCCCUGCUACCGCUGGGUGCAGGGCCACGGAAUUAUCUGCCUGCCUGAGGGUACUGCCCGGACCGUGAGUGAUGACCCCCAGAACCUGUUUAAGAAAUAUCGGGAACAGGAGCUCGAGGAAAGAAG